CGGGCUCUGCGCGACUGGCGAUAGGCUGCGGCGAGGUGCUGGCGGCUGAGGUGGACGACCACCGGGAAGCGCAGGCUGCUGGCCCCGUGCCGCAGUGCACGCCGUGCGCCUGGGCAGCCCUC
rnacentral:ncRNA from 2 species